GGGUGUACGCGGUAUUCCCUUACAGCUUUUUGAAAUUUUUUUAACAAACCGUUAUUAAUCUGUCAAAAUAGGAGAUCACACUAGUAGUCCUUUACCCAUAAAUUGUGGCGUCCCACAGGGCAGUGUUCUCGGCCCAAGUCUUUUCCUGGUCUACAUAAACGAACUCUGCAAUUUCAAACCUUUAGGUGGAAAAAUAUUCUCAUAUGCUGAUGAUACAGCGCUGGUAUUCCAGGGAGGGACUUGGGCGGAGACUCUGAAUCACGCAGAAAAGGCACUUGAAGAAAUAUACAAGUGGUUAUGCCAAAAUCUUCUAACUUUAAACAUAAAUAAGUCAAAAUACAUUACCUUUUCAAUAAACAAAGCCACUCAACCGAAUAAUAUCACACUGAGAAUUCACAAGUGCAAAAGUCGUAACACAAAUUUCUCAACUUGUUCUUGCCAGGCUAUAGAUAAAUGUGAUAACAUCAGAUACCUUGGCAUCCAAUUGGACGAAACACUGUCAUGGCAUAAACAAAUAGAACUCGUUUCCACUCGAACACGCAAAUUGAUCUGGAUUUUCAAAAAGCUAAGAAACAUCUUAAAACCUAAUCUGCUAAUAACAAUUUACUACGCACUGGUACAAUCCAUCUUGAGCUACUGUAUACCGGUGUGGGGUGGAGCAUGCAAGACAAAAUUAAUAAAAGUGGAGCGCGCCCAAAGGUCUCUGCUAAAGGUAAUGCUGCGCAAGCCCUACAGGUACCCAACUCAAAGCCUGUACGAGGAAACCAAAGUCUUAACCGUAAGACAACUAUUUGUCCUGCAUGCUACACUUCGCCAACA